rnacentral:rRNA from 1 species
AUUGAACGCUGGCGGCAUGCUUUACACAUGCAAGUCGAACGGUAACAGGCCUUCGGGUGCUGACGAGUGGCGAACGGGUGAGUAAUGCAUCGGAACGUGCCCAGAAGUGGGGGAUAACGCAGCGAAAGCUGUGCUAAUACCGCAUGUGAUCUGAGGAUGAAAGCGGGGGACCAGGCAGCAAUGUUUGGCCUCGCGCCUUUGGAGCGGCCGAUGUCAGAUUAGGUAGUUGGUGGGGUAAAGGCCUACCAAGCCGACGAUCUGUAGCUGGUCUGAGAGGACGACCAGCCACACUGGGACUGAGACACGGCCCAGACUCCUGCGGGAGGCAGCAGUGGGGAAUUUUGGACAAUGGGCGCAAGCCUGAUCCAGCAAUGCCGCGUGCGGGAAGAAGGCCUUCGGGUUGUAAACCGCUUUUGUACGGAACGAAAAGGCUCUGGCUAAUACCUGGGGCUGAUGACGGUACCGUAAGAAUAAGCACCGGCUAACUACGUG